rnacentral:rRNA from 1 species
CAAUAGCGUAUAUUAAAGUUGUUGCAGUUAAAAAGCUCGUAGUUGGAUUUCUGGUGAGAUGGAUUGUGUCUAGGUCGAAAGAUCUUGUUCAUGGUUCGUUUUGCCCUUCUUGUCAGGAACCCGCUGAGAUUCGCGUCUUGUCGGUGGAAUGGCAUCGUUUACUGUGAAAAAAUUAGAGUGUUCAAAGCAGGCAUCGCCGUUGAAUACAUUAGCAUGGAAUAAUAAGAUAAGACUUUGGUGGUCUAUUUUGUUGGUUUGCACGCCAAAGUAAUGAUUAAUAGGGAUAGUUGGGGGUAUUCGUAUUCUAUUGCUAGAGGUGAAAUUCUUAAAUUUAUGGAAGACGAACUACUGCGAAAGCAUUUACCAAGGAUGUUUUCAUUAA